AUUAAUUUUAGGACAAGUCUGAUA
rnacentral:piRNA from 1 species